AAAAAUUAAAAAUUUAUGAGAAAAUUUUAAUGAUUUAUCAUUGGAAAUUAAAUUUUAAAAUCUGAUAAGGAAUAUUUUAUUAAAUUUCAGAUAUUAAUAAAUAAUUGGUAACAUUUUUAUACGUAAUUCAUGAUUAGUUAAAAUGGAAAGGCAAUAUUUCCAGAACAAAUGCUCGAUAAGAAGAAGAAAAGUAUCAAAAAGAUAUUUCUUUUUCUUCUAUUCCCCAUCCCUCUACUAAUUUAAUGUUAAUUUCAGAAAAUAUUUGUGACCGCGCGCAAUGCGGUUAAUAGAAUCAGUGUUUGCUUCGUCAUAGUAUUUUGAAUAUUUUUUAGAGCACAACAGCUCUUAUUAAAUUUAAUUAGAAUAAUCAAACGCGAAGAUAGAAUCAGUGUUUGUUCGCCGAUUAUAAUAUAUACGGACGCGUUAUUAGAGUUUCUUAUUUUUUAUUUUUUUUUUUAUUCUCAAUAUUCGUUUUCGGCACAGGGUAGAGUCAGUGCUUCUCUCAAGAGAAUAAGGCGAUCAUCCACCACGCGAAGAGAUGCUGAUGAUCUUUAUGAAGAUUUUUGGAUUUUAAUCUUAAAAAAUAUUUGUGACCACGUGCAAUGUGGUUAGUAGAAUCAGUGUUUGCUUCGUUAUAGUAUUUUGAAUAUUUUUUUAGAGCACAACAGCUCUUAAAUUAAAUUUUAAUUAGAAUGAUCAAACGCGAAGAUAGAAUCAGUGUUUGUUCGCCGAUUAUAAUUUAUACGGACGCGUUGUUAACUUCUUAUUUUUAUUUUUUUUUAUUUUAAAUAUUCGUUUUCGGCACAGGGUAGAGUCAGUGCUUCUCUCAAGAGAAUAAGGCGAUCAUCCAUCACGCGAAGAGAUUUCUUCUACCUGAUGACUUCCUGAUGUACCUGAUGGGCUACGGUAACAGUGAAGGCGUUCGUCGCAUCAUAUGGUGAGUCGCAUGCUUUUUGGUUCCUCCGGUCAUUCAACCAUGUCGUAGGAUGAAAGAUCCGAAUCGACACGAGUGACUGGUUGUAUACGUAGAAUUUUGCACGAGCACAAUGACCGCGGAUAUUUAUUUAUAAUAAUUAUCCGCGAGUAGUAACGAUUAUUUCUUUUGUGUUUUAUUUAUUAGUUCAGGCUAGGGUCUUCUUACGCUUCGCGUUUUUGAUUAAUAUAAAAUGUUUAGUAAUUUUAAUAAUGCCAAAACAUAUAAUAAUUAUUAUUAUAUAAUUAUCAGUGUAAUACAAUAAUUAGUUUGAAUUUUUUUAAUUCAAAAUCCUUCAGAAUAACAUUUUAAGUUAUUUGAUCAAUUUGAUUAUUGUGAUUGUCACAUAAUUUCAUAUAACUUCAAUAUGAUUUACAACAACUGGUAGAUAGUAAAUUUUUCAAUUUUUAUUCGUACAAAUAUGAAGUAAAUUUUGUGUAAGAAGACAUUUCGCGACAGGUAGAUUUUAGAAUCAGAGCAAUAAGUUUUGAAUAUUGUUCUUGUGAUUUUGAAAAUAUGCUCUGAUGAAGGAAUCGCCUGAGGGUAUUUCUAUUAAUAUUUAUAUUAAAUUGCAAUGAAUUCUAAUUCCUUUUUAAUUAAUUCAAUAUUAAAAAUUUAAUAUUCAAUAAUUUGUUCAAUAAUUAAUGAAAUAAAAUAUGAAAUAGAGUCACAAAUAAUUUGAAAUAUAAUAAAAAUUUGAAAUAUAUAAUAUAGUUUAUAUAAUUAUACAAUUUGAAAUAUAUAAUGCAAAGUCAAAGAAUAUUAGCCCGUUAGAUACAAAAUGGAUAUAUUAAUAUCUUUUUAGCUCAGGAUUUUCAGGUUUAACCCUUUCCAUGUUCAUUGCCAGGAACUCACUCACGUGCCCAGGUGUUACUUGAGUGAGAGAGAGGCAAUGGGUAUGAUGAUCUUAGCUCAUAAGUUAAUACAAAUUUUUUAGCGACUGACGAUGCGUUAGUGUAUCGUGCACGACGUAAUUUCCACAUUGUGUGUGUAUGGUUAGGCUGUGGAAUUGCGUCGUUCCAAUUAUUAUUUCUUUCACUGUUCAAUCACAAUUUGCAAUCACAUUCGCAAUUAAAUAUUGCGAAUAAGUAAUAAAUAGUAAGAUUAAUUUUUAAUCUCAAAUUACAAUAAUUGUACAAUUUUGGUUUAUAAUAAUGGUUACAAUAAUGGUAACAUUUAAUCUGGUGAUUAGUAUUUUAAAAAACGUUACGUAUUCAUAAAUAUUCACAAUUAAAAUAUAGAUACACGCGUUUUUAUCGCGUUUCACGCAAUGGUCACUAGCUAUCGUCAGUCGAUUUCAGGAAAAUGGUACGUAAAGUUAGAGUAUGCGAGUAGUGUGCCAAGCUCGGGUGUCGGAGGCGUCCCGGGACGUUUUCCCUAGUGUAGGCUUUUGCGCCCGAGUGUUAUGUGUGAGAAUCGUGGAAUGAAUGUGUUGGUAUGCCUGUUUUGCCAAAUUUUUUUAAAUAUAGGGCUAGGUAGGAUAGGUAGUAUACUUCUGGUGUGUCUGUUAAUUAUAAGUAGGUAGGGCCGGGCAGGUUGUCACAGUCUCCGAUCGGGUAGGCGCGUUUUCGCGUGACAAUCUGUUUCAGGAAAUAAAAUUUGAGAAAUCGAGAGCGAAGCUGAAACGAAUGGAUGACAAUGCCAUUCGUCUCUGGUUUUGCUCGUCGAGUUUUCGAAUUUCGCGGUCGCGGUCGUGAUUUGCUUUCGAAACGAACGUUGCGCUCGAGAUUCUGUGCAUGUACGGAGAACGAUCAUUGCGAUUGUUGGUCGUCCAUGUGCACUUAGCUUACGCGAUUUAGUCCUUUUUUUUUCUUUUUUUCUUUGGUUUGCGAUUAGUGAAUCUCGAGCCUAGAUUUAAGUUUCAGCGGGUAUUGCACCCGAAGAAAGAAGACCGAAGAGGCCCGACAAACUGUCACGAAGAGGGCUGCAACGAAUGAUUUCUCAUUUUUUGAAUUUUAUCUGGAUCCAAAGAAUGGGAAGUCAUUGUUACUACUUUGUCAUUGUGCUCGUUUUAGUAAUACGUAGUAUAUGUUGUUGUAUCGUAUCUGGCCAAUUUGCAUGCUGGCCCAUCGUUCAUCCAAUCAUCUUGGGCAAAUCGCGGUUUUGCAUUAGUGUUGCGAAUGAUAAAUAACGGGUUGAAUUAGAGUUGCGACAAAAUGAUAAUCGCGUUUACUAUUAGCGUUGCGUUGAAAAGAAUAUCGCGAUUGCUUUUAAUUAUUUUCAUUAUGAAUUAGUCUAUUUUUUUAUUAUUAUUUUUUUUUUAAUAUAAAUUUGAUUUUAUUCUUUAAUAUAAUUACGAUUUAUGAUGUCGUGAUAUAUGAAAAGUAGUUUUUUAAAUUUAAAGAAUAAUAGUAAAUUUUAUAUUAAAUUCAUUUGAAGAAUUAGUGUUGCGUUGAUGAAAUAUCGCGUUUUUUAUAGUAGUGUUGCGUCUAUUUACCCAAAUUGCCCAUAUUUCUUCCACUUGGACUGUGGAAGUACGUUCCAGUUCCUGAAUCACCUAUUACAGCCAAAAAGACUGUACAAAGGGUGAUUGUACGACAGCAGUCUCUGAUUAUGGCUGCAAUCUUCCGCUAUUAGUGUUGCGUUUAUAAUAAAUUAUGAGUGCAUAAAUUAAUUAAUUUAUUAGAGUUUCGUAUAUGUUUUCGCGAAUCUUUUAUCUUUUUUUUUUAUUUUUUUUUUCUUUUUUAUUGAUGAAGAAAUGCAUUAAAAAUAUAAUAAAGCACUCUUCGCGUUUUCUUUUGAGAUUUUAAUAUAUUAGUGUUGCGAAAUAAAAAAAAUUCCACUCACGGUUUGUUCGGAUUUACAUUGAGUGGAUAAUUAUUUUGGUAACCCUUCUGGUUACCUUUUUGUCGUUUUUCUCUUUUCAGCAUCCCCCUUAUUAAGAGCAUUUGUUUAUUGUUAAAAAAUGUUUUUAUUCUUUUUAUCGAUGAAUAUCUUUCAUUUAAAAUCACGAAUUGUUUAACAACAUUUUGAUAAUUUGAUUUUUUUUUUUUAUUUAAUAUUUUUUUUAUUCCUAGAUGUAAAUUAUUUUUUAAUUACUAAUCCAAUAAUUGAGUUUGUUACAGGUAUGAAUUGAAGAAAAUAAACAAGAAAAAAUAGAUACGAAAUAAUGUGUGAUUCUCAUUUGCUAUAAAUUAAUUACCUUUAUUAUUGUUGUUAUUUCACUAAUUCUGUUGUUCACUAAUUCUGUUCAUAAUCUGUUUCAGGAAUUUUCUUCAGCUUUCAAUGGUACGGAUUACUUCAUCAUCAUCAAUUCGUUUUAUAUUAGGUAGAGGGUAGAUCGUAGACGAAACAUUUAGCUUUUUGAUAAAUGGGAUUUAUAAACGAUGUUCUUUUCUUCUUCUUCUUUUUAUUAUUAAAAAAAGCAACCUCGCUUUUCCCACUCUGAUUCGUUUUCCAAACAAAUAUUCCCUAUUUUUCAAGGCAAUAUGAUCAUUUUGCCAUCCUUAAUUCCUCAAUUUCCUCACUAUAAACAAGUACUUGAUACUUGAUUUUGCAUUAGUGACUUUGUUCACUAACCAUCAUUAGUAUGUACUGAUCUCCUCUUGCGGUUUCAUGUCAUUUCAUAAAUUUUUUGAAAAUUGUGUGUCUUCAAUGAGUAUGAAUGUUGAUAUGAAGAGAAUUUGUUAGAUGUUCAAUAGGCAGAGUUAGAAACAAAAUGUUUGAAUGCUUAUAUAGAUAGGAAAUACGAAAAAGAACUUUUAGAAUAAGUAAAAUGUUAAUGUUAUAUUUUUAUUUAAAUUUGUUUCAGGAUUUCUUGUUACAGGAACAGAAGAUUGUAUGAUACUGAUUAAAGAAAACGUAUUUAGAAUUAAGUGCAUGCACGAUCAAGGGUUUAUUAAAUAAAGUAGUGUAUUGUAGAAAAGUAGACACUGUAGAUGGGUAAAAUGGUGUAACGCUUUUUGGGAUGCUUAUUUUGCUUAUUUUUUUUCUUUUUUUUUUUUUGCGCACGCUUUUUACUAUCGAUCAUUUUUCAUUUUCCUACCGAUGGAAAUGUAAAAUAUUGAUAGAAAAUCUUUUAAUUUUAAUUUUAUCUUCACGUUUAGUCUUCCGCGCCGGGUUCUUUAGAAUUCCUUUUGCUGUUUGUUUUGCACAACGAUCGAAGGAUCUGAACGUUUUGCAAAUUUAUAUCAAAAGGAAGAUUUAUUUAUUAUUGAUUUUAAAUAAAUUUUUGCGUAAAGGAGGGUGGAUGGGAUCGUGGAUAGGGUGGGUCUCCAAUUCGCAGCACCUCCACGCGGUGAGACCUGGAAAAUCAUUAUUAUUUACUAUAUUCUUCAUAAUCGUAUCCUUGAUACAAUUAUAAAUUUUAUAGCAAAUAAGAUGAGCUAAUUGGCUGCGCACGCGAUUUCAAUGAUUAUUUUUUUUAUUUUGUAGUUAGAUUAUUAGUUAAGAUUUAUUGAAAUAAUAGUGAUCAAAAGUUUGAACGUUUUGUAAACAUACAAUGAAAGGAAAAUUUAUUUGUGAAUAAAAUAAUUUGUGAAAAUUAUAAAGUGUAAGAUUUUUUUUUUCUUUGUGACUUUGAGUGAUAAUAAUUGUGUACGUAAUUAGAGUAUACUACGCUAGACGGCGUAGCUCUAAUCUUUUUUCGGUUCAGAACAUAUUUUACAAAGUCCUAUGAGAUGUCGCGUCAAUCUAUUUCUCGUCCGUAUUUCAUUUAUACGUUAAUUUUACGUAUGUCACUAAUGAAACACGUGGAAAAGAAUAAGAAAUAAGCAAUGAAUAGAAAUGGUGAAUAAAGAUAAGAUAAGAAUUGAACAUG